ACGUUUAAUUUUGGCGGCAGUAAGAGUGCCCGCCCCCAGCCGCAUAGAAUAGGUGUUUGGGCUAUACUCACGUGUUUGGGGUUUCAUACGCAGAUGUCUAGUGGUUAGUAUUUUAUUUUGGUGUAAGCCAUUUAAUGAGGGUGGGCGAUAAAGGGGAUAGGGCACAGUGCCAGCAUCCGCGGUUA
rnacentral:rRNA from 1 species